GGGCGUAUGGUCUAGUGGUAUGAUUUCUGCUUCGCAUGUAGAAGGUCCCCGGUUCAAUCCCGGGUGCGUCCA
rnacentral:tRNA from 1 species